AUUGAACGCUGGCGGAAUGCUUUACACAUGCAAGUCGAACGGCAGCACGGGGGCAACCCUGGUGGCGAGUGGCGAACGGGUGAGUCAUACAUCGGAACGUGCCCAGUGGUGGGGGAUGACGUAGCGAAAGCUAUGCUAAUACCGCAUACGAUCCAAGGAUGAAAGCGGGGGAUCGCAAGACCUCGCGUGAUGGGAGCGACCCAUGGCAGAUUAGGUAGUUGGUAGGGUAAAGGCCUACCAAGCCGACGAUCUGUAGCUGGUCGGAGAGGAUGAUCAGCCACACUGGGACUGAGACACGGCCCAGACUCCUACGGGAGGCAGCAGUGGGGAAUUUUGGACAAUGGACGCAAGUCUGAUCCAGCCAUUCCGCGCGCAGGAUGAAGGCCCUCGGGUUGUAAACUGCUUUUGUACAGAACGAAAAGGCUCUGGUUAAUACCUAGGGCUCAUGACGGUACUGUAAGAAUAAGCACCGGCUAACUACGUGCCAGCAGCCGCGGUAA
rnacentral:rRNA from 1 species